CCUACGGGCGGCAGCAGUGGGGGAUAUUGCACAAUGGGGGAAACCCUGAUGCAGCGACGCCGCGUGAGUGAAGAAGCAUUUCGGCGUGUAAAGCUCUAUCAGCAGGGAAGAAAAUGACAGUACCUGAACAAGAAGCCCCGGCUAACUACGUGCCAGCAGCCGCGGUAAUACGUAGGGGGCAAGCGUUAUCCGGAUUUACUGGGUGUAAAGGGGGCGCAGACGGGAAUGUAAGGCAGGAGUGAAAGCCCGGGGCCCAACCCCGGGACUGCUUUGGAAACUGCGUAGCUGGAGUGCAGGAGGGGCAGGCGGAAGUCCUGGUGUAGCGGUGAAAUGCGUAGAUAUCAGGAGGAACACCGGCGGCGAAGGCGGCCUGCUGGACUGCAACUGACGUUGAGGCUCGAAAGCGUGGGGAGCAAACAGGAUUAGAUACCCGGGUAGUC
rnacentral:rRNA from 1 species